UGAUCCUGGCUCAGAACGAACGCUGGCGGCAGGCCUAACACAUGCAAGUCGAGCGCGCCUUCGGGUGAGCGGCGGACGGGUUAGUAACGCGUGGGAACGUGCCCUUCUCUACGGAAUAGCCUCUGGAAACGGAGAGUAAUACCGUAUACGCCCUUUGGGGGAAAGAUUUAUCGGAGAAGGAUCGGCCCGCGUUAGAUUAGGUAGUUGGUGGGGUAACGGCCUACCAAGCCUACGAUCUAUAGCUGGUUUUAGAGGAUGAUCAGCAACACUGGGACUGAGACACGGCCCAGACUCCUACGGGAGGCAGCAGUGGGGAAUCUUAGACAAUGGGGGCAACCCUGAUCUAGCCAUGCCGCGUGAGUGAUGAAGGCCUCAGGGUCGUAAAACUCUUUCGCCUGUGAUGAUAAUGACAGUAGCAGGUAAAGAAACCCCGGCUAACUCCGUGCCAGCAGCCGCGGUAAUACGGAGGGGGUUAGCGUUGUUCGGAAUUACUGGGCGUAAAGCGCGCGUAGGCGGAUUAGAAAGUUGGGGGUGAAAUCCCGGGGCUCAACCCCGGAACUGCCUCCAAAACUGCUAGUCUAGAGUUCGAGAGAGGUGAGUGGAAUUCCGAGUGUAGAGGUGAAAUUCGUAGAUAUUCGGAGGAACACCAGUGGCGAAGGCGGCUCACUGGCUCGAUACUGACGCUGAGGUGCGAAAGUGUGGGGAGCAAACAGGAUUAGAUACCCUGGUAGU
rnacentral:rRNA from 1 species